rnacentral:rRNA from 1 species
ACGGGGUGCAGCAGGCGCGAAAACACGCAAUGGGGGCAACCCCGACGAGGGAAUUCCAAGUGCCAGCACUUUGUGUUGGCUGUUCUCCUGUCUAAAAAACAGGAGGAGUAAGGGGCGGGUAAGACGGGUGCCAGCCGCCGCGGUAAUACCCGCGCCCCUAGUGGUGGUCGAUAUUAUUGAGCCUAAAACGUCCGUAGCCGGUCUUCUAAAUCCUUGGGUAAAUCGGGCAGCUUAACUGUCCGAAGUCCGGGGAGACUGGGAGACUUGGGACCGGGAGAGGUCAGAGGUACUUCUGGGGUAGGGGUAAAAUCCUGUAAUCCUGGAAGGACCACCGGUGGCGAAGGCGUCUGACUAGAACGGAUCCGACGGUGAGGGACGAAGCCCUGGGGCGCAAACGGGAUUAGAUACCCCGGUAGUCCAGGGUGUAAACGCUGCGGGCUUGGUGUUGGGGGUCCUUAGUGGGCGCCCAGUGCCGGAGAGAAGUUGUUAAGCCUGCUGCUUGGGGAGUAUGUCCGCAAGGAUGAAACUUAAAGGAAUUGGCGGGGGAGCACAGGAAUUGGCGGGGGAGCACA